GACGAACGCUGGCGGCGUGCUUAACACAUGCAAGUCGAACGAAGAGCGAUGGAAGCUUGCUUCUAUCAAUCUUAGUGGCGAACGGGUGAGUAACGCGUAAUCAACCUGCCCUUCAGAGGGGGACAACAGUUGGAAACGACUGCUAAUACCGCAUACGAUCUAAUCUCGGCAUCGAGGAUAGAUGAAAGGUGGCCUCUACAUGUAAGCUAUCACUGAAGGAGGGGAUUGCGUCUGAUUAGCUAGUUGGAGGGGUAACGGCCCACCAAGGCGAUGAUCAGUAGCCGGUCUGAGAGGAUGAACGGCCACAUUGGGGCUGAGACACGGCCCAGACUCCUACGGGAGGCAGCAGUGGGGAAUCUUCCGCAAUGGACGAAAGUCUGACGGAGCAACGCCGCGUGAGUGAUGACGGCCUUCGGGUUGUAAAGCUCUGUUAAUCGGGACGAAAGGCCUUCUUGCGAAUAGUGAGAAGGAUUGACGGUACCGGAAUAGAAAGCCACGGCUAACUACGUG
rnacentral:rRNA from 1 species